AGUGGGGUAAUGGCCUACCAAGGCGACGACGGGUAGCCGGCCUGAGAGGGCGACCGGCCACACUGGGACUGAGACACGGCCCAGACUCCUACGGGAGGCAGCAGUGGGGAAUAUUGCACAAUGGGCGAAAGCCUGAUGCAGCGACGCCGCGUGAGGGAUGACGGCCUUCGGGUUGUAAACCUCUUUCAGCAGGGAAGAAGCGAGAGUGACGGUACCUGCAGAAGAAGCGCCGGCUAACUACGUGCCAGCAGCCGCGGUAAUACGUAGGGCGCAAGCGUUGUCCGGAAUUAUUGGGCGUAAAGAGCUCGUAGGCGGCUUGUCACGUCGGAUGUGAAAGCCCGGGGCUUAACCCCGGGUCUGCAUUCGAUACGGGCUAGCUAGAGUGUGGUAGGGGAGAUCGGAAUUCCUGGUGUAGCGGUGAAAUGCGCAGAUAUCAGGAGGAACACCGGUGGCGAAGGCGGAUCUCUGGGCCAUUACUGACGCUGAGGAGCGAAAGCGUGGGGAGCGAACAGGAUUAGAUACCCUGGUAGUCCACGCCGUAAACGUUGGGAACUAGGUGUUGGCGACAUCC
rnacentral:rRNA from 1 species